rnacentral:tRNA from 1 species
GGCGUCGUCGGUCAGCGUCACCUGUCCCCAGGCGGUGCCGUUGGACCAGAUCGAGCGGAAGGUGCCGUUGGCGUCGUGAAUGGGGGCGAAGCCCAUCGACGCUG